rnacentral:ncRNA from 1 species
GGUAUUCACCCGGGGUGUCCCGACAAGGGGCUGAGAUACUGAUGGCCGGUCCGGCAGGCCCGCGCAGCGCAGUGACCCGACGAACCUGAUCCAGUUCAGACUGGCGUAGGGAUGGUGCACCGGCUGCACG